rnacentral:tRNA from 1 species
UAUACUUUGGUGUUAAAGGCACAAGGAAUUUUGAUUUCCUAGGAUUUAAAUAGACUUUAAAAAGUAUAA